GACGAACGCUGGCGGCGUGCUUAACACAUGCAAGUCGAACGGAAAGGCCCUGCUUUUGUGGGGUGCUCGAGUGGCGAACGGGUGAGUAACACGUGAGUAACCUGCCCUUGACUUUGGGAUAACUUCAGGAAACUGGGGCUAAUACCGGAUAGGAGCUCCUGCUGCAUGGUGGGGGUUGGAAAGUUUCGGCGGUUGGGGAUGGACUCGCGCCUUAUCAGCUUGUUGGUGGGGUAGUGGCUUACCAAGGCUUUGACGGGUAGCCGGCCUGAGAGGGUGACGGGCCACAUUGGGACUGAGAUACGGCCCAGACUCCUACGGGAGGCAGCAGGGGGGAAUAUUGCACAAUGGGCGGAAGCCUGAUGCAGCAACGCCGCGUGCGGGAUGACGGCCUUCGGGUUGUAAACCGCUUUCGCCUGUGACGGAGCGUGAGUGACGGUAAUGGGUAAAGAAGCACCGGCUAACUACGUG
rnacentral:rRNA from 1 species